CAUGAAGCAAGAACACACGCUCCCUGACAACCAACACCAGGUGGGGGUGGGUAGAGCCCCGAAGCUGGACUCCUCUGCUUGCCGCCUGGCCACUGAGAGACAUUCUUUCCCUUUGCUUCCUUUUCUCUCCCUCAGACUCUGAGCUUCAGCAGUUUUGAAUGACUGACACUUCCCUACUCACCCCUGGGACGUAAUUCCUGCAGGAUUGUGGCAAACUAGUAUUUCAGGUUCCCCUGGCAACCCUGGUGUCGUGUCUCCUGAGAACUGUGCAUACCCAGGACCUGAGAAGACCUGAUUUCUCGGUUCUCACAGUGUCACUCAAGCUAGUCUCGUUCUCUCUAUGGACCAGUGUUGAGUUCGUUGGGAUCCUUCUGACUCAGCUUCUCGAGGACAGGGAGAACAGAUACACACCCGUUGCUGUUGCUACACCGAAAGGUGAAGGAAAACGAUGUAUUUAACAAAGUGUCCUGCUGUUUCUAUUCAGGGGAAUUGUUGGAAAGUAAAUAACAAAUUUCACGUGUUUCUCAAAGACCAAAUGAUCUUUGCAAGUACCUAAGUCCAGUCCAAGGACUACGUGCAAAAGAUAACCAGAGCAAAGCUCAGCACAGCCGUGGGUUCAGGUGGUCUCCUAUAUUACGCAUCCACGUCAUCAUUUAUGAGGUAGGCUAAAGCCCAAGAACUAAUGGAGAAUUGUGACACAUGCACAGCAUGCUUCAGGUGUCACACAAUGGUAUCAGUUGUUACACCAGCAAUUAUUACUUGGAAUCCAUGAGUUGAAAGCAGAAAGAUCAAAGAAGCGACAAAACACACAUCUGUUCCUGAUACACGGGCACUGAUUUUCCCCAGGAUGUUCUUCCUUAUGUGUCUUCUUUCAUUUAUAUGUAUGCAUGUAUGUGUAGGAUAGCUCAUUCUUUUCUAGGCAAUGAGGUAAAGAUGGCUGGAAAUAGUAUCUUCAUUUCAUUCAGGUGUUAGAAGAUGCUCAGGCACUCAGCUGUGGCAUAACCACAGUCCCAGCGUUACAGGUUGUGUUAGUAACAGAAUUUCCUUGCUGUAGAACAUGGAAUUUGAGAGAGAAAUGUACUUGGUUGACAAGACGUUACUGGCCGUGACUGUGGCCAAUUGUAAUCAUAGACCCAAAGAAUUUUUACACAGUAUUUUCAGGCAUGAAAGGAAAAACACAUGUCCCUUAAAAAUAGAGACGUGAUCCAGGGGUACAGUAUGGCAUACUUCUUUAAUACCAGCUCUUGAGCCACAAAGGUGGGUGGACCUCUGUGGGUUCAAGGCCAGCCUGAUCUAUGUAGUCAGGGCUAGACCUUUAGUGAGACCCUAUCUAGAAAUAAAUAAAUAAUAAACACCUAAACAUGCUCAGCUUCCUUCGAGUUUCUGUGGUGGGAAGGAGUGUGGUAAGAUGCCUGCAUGCUUUGCCCUGCCCUCGAGCCUGAGAAUGAGGAUUGGUUAAUGUACAGUAGAGCC
ensembl:lncRNA